CGGCAAACGGGUGUGGAACACGUACAGAACCUUCCUUUAAGCGGGAGAUAGCCCGGAGAAAUCCGGAUUAAUACCCCAUAGUAUUACUGAUUGGCAUCAAUUGGUAAUUAAAGAUUUAUCACUUAAAGAUGGCUGUGCGGCUGAUUAGGUAGUUGGUGUAGGUAAAGGCUCACCAAGCCAGCGAUCAGUAACUGGUGUGAGAGCACGACCAGUCACACGGGCACUGAGACACGGGCCCGACUCCUACGGGAGGCAGCAGUAAGGAAUAUUGGUCAAUGGAGGCAACUCUGAACCAGCCAUGCCGCGUGAAGGAUGAAGGUCCUCUGGAUUGUAAACUUCUUUUAUGUGGGAAGAAAUGCAUUCUUUAUAGAGUGUUUGACGGUACCAUAGGAAUAAGCACCGGCUAACUCCGUGCCAGCAGCCGCGGUAAUACGGAGGGUGCAAGCGUUAUCCGGAUUCACUGGGUUUAAAGGGUGCGUAGGUGGGAAUGUAAGUCAGUGGUGAAAUCUCUGAGCUUAACUCAGAAACUGCCAUUGAUACUAUGUUUCUUGAAUUUUCUGGAGGUCAGCGGAAUAUGUCAUGUAGCGGUGAAAUGCUUAGAUAUGACAUAGAACACCAAUUGCGAAGGCAGCUGACUACAGGGAUAUUGACACUGAGGCACGAAAGCGUGGGGAUCAAACAGGAUUAGAUACCCUGGUAGUCCACGCCCUAACGAUGGAUACUCGACAUUUGUGAUAGACAAUAAGUGUC
rnacentral:rRNA from 1 species